rnacentral:rRNA from 1 species
UACAGAGGGUGCAAGCGUUGUUCGGAAUUAUUGGCGUAAAGGGCGCGUAGGCGGUGCCACAAGUCACCUGUGAAAUCUCCGGGCUUAACUCGGAGCCUGCAGGCGAAACUGUGGUGCUGGAGUGUGGGAGAGGUGCGUGGAAUUCCCGGUGUAGUGGUGAAAUGCGUAGAGAUCGGGAGGAACACCUGUGGCGAAGGCGGCCCCCUGG